UUAGUGUUGAUGAAGCUGUGUGUAAAUGGAUGAAAUGCUGUAGUUUGUCUCUGUGUUGAGGUGGAUCAGUGGAUCAAUAUUUGGAAACUGAACUGGACUGUCGUAAAGACAGUCACAUAGAUGAUGUGACAUCAUCUAAAAAAGGCAAACAGUGACAACAAAGUGAAAAAAAAAUAUCGAUUGAUAAUUGAAAUUACACUGAAAACUGACACAGAGAUGGCUGCUGGCACUGCGCUGCUCUGCUCCACUUUGCUGUUUGUCCUUGUCUUCGUCUCUGCAGACCAUAAAUUCAUCACAGCUGAGUCUGGACAGGACGUCACUCUGACAUGUCGAGCUCCAAACAACAAGAUCAAAUUUUUAAAGUGGACAAAAGCUUACCUGCAGUCAGAAGUUGUCAUUUUGCACUGGGAUGGUCACUUUGAUCCAUUUUAUCAGCAUCCAUCUUUUAAGAACCGGGUGGAUCUGCAGGACAGACAGAAUGUGACGAUUAAUGACAUACGAGUGUUGAGCUGAUGUGAGAGAAACACGCUUAUGGGAUCUCAGCAGCAUCUAUCUUAGUGUUGUUGAUCCUCCAGAGAAACACACCACCACACCUCCACCUACAUUGAGCAGCUCACCUCCACCUACAUCCACACCUCCACCUGGUUCCACCUCCAUCACUCUUCCUCCAUCACUCUCUACUCCUCCUCUCUCUGUGCUGUUGCCUGUUGGAUCAGUCUAUGUUGUGGUUCUACUGGUGUUACUGGUUCUGCGGGUGAGACGUUGUGUUCACAGGAAACUUGAAGAGACUGAUUCAGCUGUGGUCUACUCAGCAGUGAGAACUGAAGACAUCAGUCAUGGACAAAGAACCAUCAGAACAAGGAGGCCCAGGUACAGCUGCUCUUUAUCUUUGACUGUGGACAGAGACAAGCUAGCUGCUCGCCCUGUUUACAGCCAUCAUGCUAAGCUAAGCUAACCAAACUACAUCGUGACUCAAGCCCAGAGCUCAGACUUCAAACUUCUCAUCUUUCUGUCCAAAAACAAAACAAAAAAAAAGAUUCCUUGUAAAGUUGAGCUUUUCCUUAAACUGUCCGUUAUAGCGUGGUCUUCCUACUUAUCUUGACACAAUGCUUUAAGUCAACAGACUGUAUUCAACUGAAUUCUGUCAUCUCACUUCUCCCAAUUCAGAUGCACUAUCCUAGCUAGUGACUAAUCAGAGGAAGUUGUUAAUCAGUUUCAUCUUAACAGUUUGGGACAACAAUGAGACAACCCUCAAAACAGGAAUGGUUUUACAGCUGGAGGUCACUGACAUGUUCCCUUUCCCUCAUGUAUUCUGACAUUUUUAACUAGUUAGGGGUUAGGGUUAAUCCUGAUAUCAGUCAAAAUAUCGUCUUUUCAUGAGUGGACUCUUAAGCUGUGGCUAAAAUGAUAAAAUGCAGAAAUUGUUGUAAACGUUAAACGCAGCUUUGUGUUUUUAGGGCUCUGAGUCAAUGCAGGAAGGUAAAAAUCUGUGUGGAGAGACAGGAGUAGGAAGUAAAGUGAGAAAAAAAAACACGAGAACAGAUUCUUUCAAAAUAAAACAGGAAGUGAUUAACUAUAGAGACAAGGAGUAAACACAGACAGGGAGGCACAGAAAUACUUAAGAAAACCAAAGAAUCACCACAGAGAGAAGAAAAAAAUAGAAACAAAGUGAAAAUAGAAACAUUCAGAAUAACAAUGAGUUCAAAGUGUGAGGAG